rnacentral:rRNA from 1 species
UACGUAGGGUCCGAGCGUUGUCCGGAAUUACUGGGCGUAAAGAGCUCGUAGGUGGUUUUGUCGCGUUGUUCGUGAAAACUCACAGCUUAACUGUGGGCGUGCGGGCGAUACGGGCAGACUGGAGUACUGCAGGGGAGACUGGAAUUCCUGGUGUAGCGGUGGAAUGCGCAGAUAUCAGGGAGGAACACCGGUGGCGAAGGCGGGUCUCUGGGCAGUAACUGACGCUGGAGGAGCGAAAGCGUGGGGAGCGAACAGG